GGCCUAUCAGCUUGUUGGUGGGGUAGUGGCCUACCAAGGCGACGACGGGUAGCCGGCCUGAGAGGGUGACCGGCCACACUGGGACUGAGACACGGCCCAGACUCCUACGGGAGGCAGCAGUGGGGAAUAUUGCGCAAUGGGCGGAAGCCUGACGCAGCGACGCCGCGUGGGGGAUGACGGCCUUCGGGUUGUAAACCUCUUUCAGCAGGGACGAAGCGAAAGUGACGGUACCUGCAGAAGAAGCACCGGCCAACUACGUGCCAGCAGCCGCGGUAAUACGUAGGGUGCAAGCGUUGUCCGGAAUUAUUGGGCGUAAAGAGCUCGUAGGCGGUUCGUCGCGUCGGCUGUGAAAACCUGAGGCUCAACCUCAGGCCUGCAGUUGAUACGGGCGGACUUGAGUGUUGCAGGGGAGACUGGAAUUCCUGGUGUAGCGGUGAAAUGCGCAGAUAUCAGGAGGAACACCGGUGGCGAAGGCGGGUCUCUGG
rnacentral:rRNA from 1 species